rnacentral:rRNA from 14 species
GUCGGUGGAGGAUGAGCUCGCGGCCUAUCAGCUUGUUGGUGGGGUAAUGGCCUACCAAGGCGUCGACGGGUAGCCGGCCUGAGAGGGUGACCGGCCACACUGGGACUGAGACACGGCCCAGACUCCUACGGGAGGCAGCAGUGGGGAAUUUUCCGCAAUGGGCGAAAGCCUGACGGAGCAAUGCCGCGUGGAGGAUGAAGGCCUGUGGGUUGUAAACUCCUUUUCUCAGAAAAGAAUUAAUGACGGUAUUUGAGGAAUAAGCAUCGGCUAACUCCGU